rnacentral:rRNA from 1 species
AUUGAACGCUGGCGGCAGGCCUAACACAUGCAAGUCGAGCGGAUGAGAGGAGCUUGCUCCUUGAUUUAGCGGCGGACGGGUGAGUAAUGCCUAGGAAUCUGCCUGGUAGUGGGGGAUAACGUUCCGAAAGGAACGCUAAUACCGCAUACGUCCUACGGGAGAAAGCAGGGGACCUUCGGGCCUUGCGCUAUCAGAUGAGCCUAGGUCGGAUUAGCUAGUUGGUGAGGUAAUGGCUCACCAAGGCGACGAUCCGUAACUGGUCUGAGAGGAUGAUCAGUCACACUGGAACUGAGACACGGUCCAGACUCCUACGGGAGGCAGCAGUGGGGAAUAUUGGACAAUGGGCGAAAGCCUGAUCCAGCCAUGCCGCGUGUGUGAAGAAGGUCUUCGGAUUGUAAAGCACUUUAAGUUGGGAGGAAGGGCAUUAACCUAAUA